GUGAAUCAUCGAAUUUUUGAACGCAAAUUGCACUCUCUUCGGAGAGUAUGCCUGUUUGUGGUUCAGCCUCAAAAAAAUCGACAUAGUCUCUGUUUCGCGGUGCCAUUUGUCGGUAAUUGGGUCAUCUUCAACCUUUUGGUUUUAAGCGGCUUAAAAUUUUCUUUACGACUCCACGAACGUUUCUUAGAUUUACUUACAUGUUUAAGGUACCGCUCUUUCUUAGACGUGGCCUUUUCAUCGGGUCGCGUCCAUAACUAUUUCGUUAACUUACCUCAUACAGUUAAGAAC
rnacentral:misc_RNA from 1 species